rnacentral:rRNA from 1 species
UACGUAGGGCGCAAGCGUUGUCCGGAAUCAUUGGGCGUAAAGAGCGUGUAGGCGGCCUUUUAAGUCCUGCGUGAAAUCCUGCGGCUCAACCGCAGACGGUCGUGGGAAACUGGAAGGCUAGAGUGCGGGAGAGGAGAGUGGAAUUCCCGGUGUAGCGGUGAAAUGCGCAGAUAUCGGGAAGAACACCCGUGGCGAAGGCGGCUCUCUGGAACGCAACUGACGCUGAGACGCGAAAGCGUGGGGAGCAAACAGG